GAUUCCGUUCUAAAAAAAUCAUGUUCGUCGUAGUGUUUGAACACGCGACGGCAUUUACGAUCAUAGUUAUCAAAAAUAUGUUCUCAAAGCAAACUGUUCUUUCGUUCGUAUUUUUCCAAAUCCGGUUGUUUUCAAUUAACAUUUUUUAUUUUUGGGAAAUGGUUUCGAAUCCGGAUGUUGAUUAAGUUUUUUUUUUUAAUAAUUUUUUGCCCAGUUCUUAAAACUCAUGUCCAUCGUAGUCUUUUGAAUUUGAACACACGGUGGCGUUAGGCUCAUAUAUAUCCAAAAAAUGUUUGCAAAAUUCAAUUUUUCCUUUUUCGGAGAUGGUUUCGAAUCCUGUUUGUUGCUUAUGUUUUUUUUUUUCAUUUUCAGGCGACACUCAUGCCAGGAAGUUCACCAUCUCACCAUCUACAGACGGUACUUAAAGGCGGGUUCUAUGUUCUCUUUGAGCGGCUUUGAUGUGUCACUAGGUGUAAUCAAAAUUUUAGUCGGUCGGACUCUCCUCUAUUGAUAUGGUUGAGUGAAUCAACCAGUUUUGAUUAGUUAACCGAACCGGUUUCCCCAAAUCCAGAAGAACACUUAAGGUUUCGAAAUCAAAAUCAGCUGCUUGGCCUAGCCAACACAAAUACCCAGCUUCUAGUGAUGUUUCUGGGACGUUGAGUAUGUUUGACUAAGAUGCUGUAUCAUUCCAUAGCCACCUGGACGGCUAGCAUAAGUCCCACAAUAGUAAGAGGUACUCUGUCACAUAUUCUCUGUAUUGAUUAACUAAGAUCCACCCUAAUGCUUCUUGAAACACUUACAACACUAUUGAUUUGCAGGCGUCUGUUCCUGAAUGCCACAUCUGGGAGACAACUUUAUUUUGACAAGGAGACUAAUGCAGAGGAAACCUAUUUUACAAGUAAGUAUUUGGUAAUUCUUUCACUUUUACGUCCAGAUUUGGUUUGUUCUAUGACUUAUCCACUACAUGCUCUGACGGGUUACUGUCCAUCAUUACACAUCAUCAGCUUCACUGCUGAGGGGUUAAUCCAAGGUUGAGCCUGUGACCAUAGCUGAACUAAACGAGUUUAUCCUCACUCCCAGCCUCAUGUUGUACAAUAAUCUUUAGUAUGAUUGUAUUUUGCAUGUGAUUCUGUUAAUGUAAAAUGCAGAGGUUGAAUUUGUCUGCCCCAUGAAGGUCACUGGAUUUAAUAUGGAUAAAGGCUGGUGCUAUGUCUCUUGCUCCAGAUGUACAAAGAAGCUUCAGCGGACGGUCUCAUCUUUUACUUGGCAACCUGCAGUAACACCAAUGCAGUUGGUUUCCUUCGAUAUGUUGGACCCUAAAAUGAGGUCCCAUAGACACAUUAGCAACUAACAUACAUUUUAAACAUUUUAUUUUAUUUAUCGUGUGGAAACAACUAUUGCUGAUGAGAUUGCUGAAAGUCUAUUUGUUGAUUUCAAUGGGAAAGUGCAUAUCUUGGCUGGAGAAGGAGAAAAUCCAGAGGACACACAGCUACCCCUUUUAUUGCACAAAUAGUUGGCAAGAGUAAGCAGCUACAAUUUCGCUGCCAAUCACCAAACCUUCACUAUAUCACGCAUCUUGAACGAACGUGACCGUCUGCCACUCUCUGAGAUGGCAACGAUGAUCAUGGCGAUGAUAUGCCUGGGAAUAUCUCAGUGCUCACUAAGGUGGACACUGAUGGUGACGACCGUGAGGAAGCGCCAACUAUAGGAAUUACUUCAACUGGUGUCCACACCAAUAAGCCUCCCGCAACAGCAACUUCCAAGGUUGUCAAGAAGGCACGGGUCGCAUAGGCGAAGAUCAUGAAGUCUCUCUACCCACUAUUUUCUGUUUGAAUAAUGUUUCGGCAUCAAUUUUUAAAAUAUGUAGCAUCUGGUAAAGUUUCUUUAAAAUAAAUAAUUUCUUAACCAUCUUAUGAAUUUAGUUUGACUUCAACAUUUAUACGAGUGAUUUAAGUUUAUGCAAA